GGGCGCAUGGCCUAAUGGUAAGGCGUCAGAUUUCGGUUCCAUUCAAGGGUCUCCGGUCCUCUGAAGAUUGCAGGUUCGAUCCCUGCUGUGCUCG